rnacentral:piRNA from 1 species
UGAGGUGUCAGUAGGCUCUUUAGCAAACUC